GCUGGGGCUGAUGGUCACCAAGGACGGCAGCACUGGUGUGAACAAAGAGGCUGCUUAAAGUCAGUGCCCAUUCUGAUGGGUCAGUGCCCUGUUCUGGCUUGUGAGUGCCUGUCUCUCCACGGCUCCCCCUCACCACAAUCCUCCCAUCCUUCUUCAACCGCUCCCCGCCCCCGCAGGAAGAGAGCCUGCUGAUUGGUCAGCUCAGUUUGAUUCCAGGGCCCUGGCUGUUACAUAUUUUGAAAAAUACCUUGUAUUGUAGCAGGUCUUCUUGAAAGUGGCAAGAAGAAAAGUGACUCAGAUACAUUUGUACACGGAAAACAGAUUUUAGCACACAAAUUGACAAAUUAUGUUAGAAAAUUUAUUUAACAAUUGUGAAAAACAGUUAUGGGGUGAGGGUGCUUAAAAGAAUGUUAAACCUCCAGAGAACACUAUUAUGAUGGGGUGGGAGGUAAAGUUAUACAAUAAAUUAUUCAAGCAUACUUUAAUACGUCACAAUGUGUUUAAGAAAAGAAAAAACAGUAAAAACUUUCGAUUUUGUUAGAAAAAAGUAUUUUAUGGCCGGGCACGGUGGCUCAGGCCUGUAAUCCCAGCAUUUUGGAAGGCCAAGGUGGGUGGAUCACCUGAGGUCAGGAGUUUGAGACCAGCCUGGCCAACAUGGUGAAACCCUGUCUCUGUUAGAAUAUAAAAAUUAGCCGGGGGUGAUGGUGCGCCCCUGUAAUCCCAGCUAUUCCAGAGGUUGAGGCAUGAUAAUUGCUUGAACCCAGGUGGCUGAGGUUGCAGUGGGCUGAGAUCAUGCCACUGCACUCCAGCCUGGGUGACAGAGAGAGACCCUGUCUCCAAAAAAAAAAAAAAAAAGAGAAAAAAGUAUUUAUUAAAUAAUAUACGUGUAAAAAAAUUUAAAGUCUAUUGUAAAAGAAUUGAAUUGUAUCGCCUCCAAUAAGAAAAAGAAAGAAAAUAUAGGAAAAUUUAUCAAACCAAUCAGUUAGUCCAGGUAAACGAGAUAGGUUGUGUUAAGGUAAUGGUGGAGAAGAAAAAAGGAAAGCAAAAGAUAAUAAACAGAAAGCUUCUACUGAAAGAGCUUUUAAAAAUACCCAUGCUCUUUGGAACACUUGUGCAGUUCGUGGGAAUGUAAAAUGAUGCAGCUGCUAUGGAAAACAGAAUGGAAGUUCCUCAAAAAAUUAAAAAUAUACUUAACAUAUGAUCCAGCAAUUCUACUUCUAGCUACAUAUCCAAAAGAAUUGAAAGCAGGAUUUCAAAGAGAUAUAGUAUUUGCACACCCGUGUUCACAGCGGCGUUAUUCACAAUAGCCAAGAUGUGGAAACAACCUAAAUGCCCAUCGAUAGAUGAAUGGAUAAAGAAAAUGUGUUAUGUACAUACCAAGAAAUAUUAUUCAGCCUUAAAAAGGAAAGAUAUAUAGUAUUUGCACACCCAUGUUCACCCCGGCAUUAUUCACAAUAGCCAAGAUGUGGAAACAAUCUAAAUGCCCAUCGAUAGAUGAAUCGAUAAAGAAAAUGUGUUAUGGGCCGGCGUGGUGGCUCAGGCCUGUAAUCCCAGCCGAGGUUGGUGGAUCACGAGGUCAGGAGUUGGAGACCAUCCUGGCUAACACGGUGAAACUCCGUCUCUACUAAAAAUACAAAAAAAUAGCCGGGCAUGGUGGCGAGCGCCUGUAGUCCCAGCUACUUGGGAGGCUGAGGCAGGAGAAUGGCAAGAACCCAGGAGGCGGAGCUUGCAGUGAGCCGAGAUCACGCCACUGCACUCCAGCCUGGGCGACACAGCAAGACUCCAUCUCAAAAAAAAAAAGAAAAAAGAAAAUGUGUUAUGUACGUACCAUGAAAUAUUAUUCAGCCUUAAAAAGGAAGGAAAUGCUGACACAUGCUACAACAUAGAUGAGCCUUGAGGACAUUAUGCUAUGUGACAUAAGCCACAAAAGACAAAUACUGUAUGAUUUCACUUAUAUGAGGCAUCUAAAGUAGUCAAACUCAUAGAAACAAAAAGUAGAAUGGUGGUUGCCAGCACCUGAUGAGAAGGGGAAGUGGGGAGUUGUUUAAUGGGUGUAGAUGGCCGGGCGCAGUGGCUUAUGCCUGUAAUCUCAGCACUUUGGGAGGCCGAGGCGGGUAGAUCACGAGGUCAGGAGUUCGAGACCAGCCUGCCCAACAUAGUGAAACCCCAUCUCUACUAAAAAUAC
rnacentral:lncRNA from 1 species